GAUGAAGAACGCAGUGAAAUGCGAUACGUAAUGUGAAUUGCAAAUUCAGUGAAUCAUCGAGUCUUUGAACGCACAUUGCGCCCCCUGGUAUUCCGGGGGGCAUGCCUGUCCGAGCGUCAUUGCUGCCCUCAAGCACGGCUUGUGUGUUGGGCCCCGUCCUCCGAUCCCCGGGGACGGGCCCGAAAGGCAGCGGCGGCACCGCGUCCGGUCCUCGAGCGUAUGGGGCUUUGUCACCCGCUCUGUAGGCCCGGCCGGCGCUUGCCGAUCAACCCAAAUUUUUAUCCAGGUUGACCUCGGAUCAGGUAGGGAUACCCGCUGAACUUAAGCAUAUCAAUAAGCGGAGGA
rnacentral:misc_RNA from 1 species